UUGAAUAAACCGCAUACAGGUGUCAGGACAAUGCUGGGAACAGGCGUUGUUUUGGUGAAAAGGGAAAAUGGGUGAGAAUCCCAUACGAACUCGUCACCGUAAUUAGGGAGCAGAAGCCGGUAUACCACUGGGAAACUGGGAAGGUGGCUGCUGUGAUGAUUUUUAAGUCGGGAAACCUGCCUGAAUGUUGUACAGAAA
rnacentral:ncRNA from 2 species